rnacentral:tRNA from 1 species
AGGGCGACGAGUGGUGAAAAACAACAUUAGCCACAAUCGCACUCGUAAUCCUUUGGUCCACGGUUCAAGUCCGUGACGCCCUACCA